rnacentral:sRNA from 1 species
AAAUAGCCCCGAUGGAAGGGAAAAUCCUUGUAUGUCCUUUUUUUAAGGGGACAGACAAGAUUGGAAUGACAGCGGGAGAAAUG